rnacentral:rRNA from 1 species
GAUGAACGCUGGCGGCAGGCCUAACACAUGCAAGUCGAGCGCGAAAAUUCCUUCGGGGAUGAGUAGAGCGGCGGACGGGUGAGUAACGCGUAGGAAUCUGCCCGGUAGUGGGGGACAACAGUCGGAAACGACUGCUAAUACCGCAUACGCCCUAAGGGGGAAAGCAGGGGAUCUUCGGACCUUGCGCUAUCGGAUGAGCCUGCGUCGGAUUAGCUUGUUGGUGGGGUAAUGGCCUACCAAGGCGACGAUCCGUAGCUGGUCUGAGAGGAUGAUCAGCCACACUGGGACUGAGACACGGCCCAGACUCCUACGGGAGGCAGCAGUGGGGAAUAUUGGACAAUGGGGGAAACCCUGAUCCAGCCAUGCCGCGUGUGUGAAGAAGGCCUCGGUUG